rnacentral:rRNA from 1 species
UACGGAGGAUGCAAGCGUUAUCCGGAAUGAUUGGGCGUAAAGCGUCCGCAGGUGGCAAUGUAAGUCCGCUGUUAAAGAGUCUAGCUCAACUAGAUAAAAGCAGUGGAAACUGCAUAGCUAGAGUACGUUCGGGGCAGAGGGAAUUCCUGGUGUAGCGGUGAAAUGCGUAGAGAUCAGGAAGAACACCAGUGGCGAAGGCGCUCUGCUAGGCCGUAACUGACACUGAGGGACGAAAGCUAGGGGAGCGAAUGGG